GAAGUCGCGUAACCGUAAGGAGCGUACCUAGGGUAAACGUCGGUAACUGGGCGU
rnacentral:rRNA from 1 species